rnacentral:rRNA from 1 species
CCUACGGGUGGCAGCAGUGGGGAAUCUUCCGCAAUGGGCGAAAGCCUGACGGAGCAACGCCGCGUGAGUGAAGAAGGUCUUCGGAUCGUAAAGCUCUGUUGUUGGGGACGAAAGGGAAGGGGAGGAAAUGCCCUUUUUAAGACGGUACCCGACGAGCAAGCCACGGCUAACUACGUGCCAGCAGCCGCGGUAAUACGUAGGUGGCGAGCGUUGUCCGGAAUGAUUGGGCGUAAAGGGAGCGCAGGUGGGACGGUAAGUCCUUCUUAAAAGCGUGGGGCUCAGCCCCAUGAAGGGAAGGAAACUAUCGAUCUUGAGUGCCGGAGAGGAAAGCGGAAUUCCCAGUGUAGCGGUGAAAUGCGUAGAUAUUGGGAAGAACACCAGUGGCGAAGGCGGCUUUCUGGACGGCAACUGACACUGAGGCUCGAAAGCCAGGGGAGCGAACGGGAUUAGAUACCCGGGUAGUC